AUGAGGAUCACCAAACAAUGCAACCUGCCACUUUCUUUGGGUAAGCAUUAUCGCUCAAAUGUGUUGUGUGAUGUGGUUGACAUAGAUGCCAGCCAUGUUCUUCUUGGGAGGCCUUGGCAAUUUGAUGUGGAUACUACACACAAGGGCAAGGAAAAUUCUUACUCUUUCAUUUGGAACAAGAGAAAGAUCAUUAUCUUACCAAACAAAACCGAAGGCAAUACCUCUAAGGAGGAGGGGAAAACUAUGUUAACUAUCUCCCAUACCUCUCAUGAGUUUAUGGAAGACUUGAAGGAGGCAGAUUUGUGUGCUGCACUUGUUGUAAAGGGAGAAGAGCACCUGACUGUUGAAAUUCCAGCAAAGGUACGUGGUUUAUUGGCAGAAUUUCAAAACAUACUUGGGGAGCCACAUGGCUUGCCACCGAUGAGAGGAAUUCAAAAUAGAAUUGACUUAAUUAUAGGAGCAAGUCUUCCUAAUCUUCCACACUAUCGAAUGAGCCCAAAGGAGCAUGAUAUAUUAAAGGAGAAAGUGGAGGAAUUGUUGCAAAUGGGUCACAUUUGA
rnacentral:rRNA from 1 species